GAUAAAUAGUUUUGUACUAUUUACGUUCAACGUUUAACCGUUCGUUUUAUUUGAAAUUUUUUUAUGAUUAGUAUUUUUAUUGCUAUUAGAUGAUAAAAAAUAAAUAGUACUUUAUGUGUGACUAAAUAUUUUCACAAAUUUUUUAAAUAAGACGGAUGGUCAAUCGUUGGACACGGAUAUCCACGGCUGCAUUUAUU
rnacentral:pre_miRNA from 1 species